rnacentral:rRNA from 1 species
UACGUAGGUGGCAAGCGUUGUCCGGAUUUACUGGGCGUAAAGGGCGUGCAGGCGGUUUGUUAAGUGCAGAGUGAAAGCUCCCGGCUCAACUGGGAGAGGUCUUUGCAUACUGGCAAACUCGAGGGAGGCAGAGGAAAGUGGAAUUCCCGGUGUAGUGGUGAUAUGCGUAGAUAUCGGGAGGAACACCUGUGGCGAAGGCGGCUUCCUGGACCAGCACCGGACGUUCAGGCACGAAAGCGUGGGGAGCAAACAGG